GUGGAUGUUCGACUGGGGGUGACUUUGUACAAGCUUUUCAAGAACACAGAUUACUUGGAUCUGGCGGACAAGUUCGGCAUCGGGGAGUCCACAGCUCAUGAGAUUGUACAUUUUCUUAUGUUUUUUGGAUUGUUAUAAGUUUUGAUGAGCAAUAGGAACCCGACUGCCUAAUGUUGCUGGGG